AUGAUUUGUGUUACCUCUCACAUUCCGCUAGCCAAAGCAAGUCUCACAGUCUCACCUUACUUUGAAAGGGGCAGGGAAGCACAGCCCCUGACUUGUACCAGGAGGAAAGAAAGACCAAAACUGCAUUAAUGAAUCCCACAUCAAUAUGCUCAGAGAUAAAAUGAGCACAAAAGGAUGAGGUGCCCCACAGGAGACUUCUGAUCAUUGUUAAUAUGAACUGUAGAGAUGUUAGAAAUGUACUUGACACCUUCUCCUCUCACAAAAACAUUUUCAUGCCACUGCCACACAAAAUAUCAUCCUUUGUGGUUGUUUUUGUUGUUGUUAGAGUUUCAGAGGGAAAAGAAAACUUUCCUUUUUGUUAUCACCACCAGAAAAGCACUGAGGUCCCUGGCAGAGGUGGAGAGAAGCUGGGGGCAUUCAUUUAAGAAAAGGAAUAAUUUGAAUAUCCAAGGGAAAACAUAAAAAGAAUCAAAAUAAAAUGUCAAGCGAAGAAACAAAAGAGGACUGAAAAAAGUUUUUAUCAGUUCAUUACGGAAACCCUGCUACCCAAAUGAUGCCUGACAGAAAAAUCUCCUGUUGGUAAGGACCUUUUCUCAAGCCAAGGAUUAUCAGUGGGAAGUGGUUUUCAAAGAAAUAGAUUUUUGAUGAAGCAAAUGGAAUUUCAGAACUUAAAUAUCAAUAGGGCAGCAGGAGGGCGCAGAUUUUCUGCAGGAUAAGGGAGAGAAGGCAGAAGGAAGGAAGAUUAAGAAGGCCAAUUGCUGAAGACAAGUUUCAUCUAAUUGGAAGUGGCUGAUA